UUCCAGCCGUCGGUUCAGCUGCUGCAGGCUGAGCGUCCUCCAGCCAGCCGGACACAAGCAGUUCGCUGCACAGGCUGCAGCAUGUGAGCUGACCGCUGCAAGAGGCGACAAACCGGAGGCUGAGGGACGCAGCAUGAGACGUCUGGAAACUGCAGAGUCACUGUGAUGCUCUGAAACGGGAAGCUGCAGUCAAGGUGACCUCCCACCCGCUGGUUCUGUUGGAGACAUCUGAUCUCCUGGUGGGACUCUGUGGAUUAGAUGAAGUGAUGCAGCUACAGGAAGCAGCGUCACAGGGGUCGUGACCUGAGCUCCUCUGUCCGGUGCCAGCAGCAUCAUGGCGGAGACCGGGUCGGACUCGGCCGUGGCCGCGCAGCAGUGACCUGAUGAUGAGCUCGUCGUCCCCGAUCAGAGUGGAGCCCGUCUCCGUCCCCACCCUCACCGUCCUGCCGCCGUCCUCUGACACAGAGUCCUGGUCCCGUCCCCCCAGCCCCAGACCGCCGGGCCGGUCCCACCGCAGCAGGACCAGAACCAAGCGGCGCUGCGAGGGCCCGGCGGGCCUGCAUGGCGGCACCACUCGGCCAGGAUGGGGCGAGACGCCGCAGAUUGUGGUGGAGGACGGCGAGCGGCACCGCAGCCCGUCUCCCUCGGCGGAGCGGCGGAGCGAGGACAGCCCGUCACAUGACCUGCUGCUGCCGCCGCCCCGGUCCUGGUCCAGAAGCCCCUCCCCCAGCCGGCGCUCCCGCUGGUCUCUCAGGAGCCUGCUGAGCAGAGACUCAGACGUGGACGGCUGCAGCACGGCCAGUAACUCUCCACGCAGCACGCCCGGCAGCUCCCCCUCCCUGCGGCGGAGGGUCCUGGGGGGGGGCAAGGCCAGCGAGGGUGAGGGAGGGGUGGGCGGCGCCGACAGCCCUCUGCCCUCCGUGCCCUCCGCCUCCUCCCUGCCCUCCGCCUACCCCCUGGCCUCCCGCCACUUCAGCCGUAACGCCAAGAAAAUGCAGAGCUGGUACAACGUCCUCAGUCCCACGUACAAACAGCGCAACGAGGACUUCCGAAAAAUCUUCAAGAAGCUCCCCGACUCCGAGCGGCUCAUAGUGGACUACUCCUGCGCUCUGCAGAAGGACAUUCUGCUUCAGGGACGCCUCUAUCUGUCAGAGAACUGGCUCUGCUUCUACAGCAACAUCUUCCGCUGGGAAACCACUAUCACCAUCCAGCUAAAAGACGUGACGUCGAUGACGAAGGAGAAGACGGCCAAGCUGAUCCCCAACGCCAUCCAGAUCAGCACCGACAGCGAGAAGCAUUUCUUCACGUCGUUCGGCGCCAGGGAGCGCAGCUUCAUGAUGAUUUUCCGCCUGUGGCAGAACGCGCUGUUGGACAAGUCUCUGUCCCCCAAAGAGCUGUGGCACAUCGUGCACCAGUGCUACGGCACCGAGCUGGGCCUGACCAGCGAGGACGACGACUACGUCUCUCCCACCAGCGAACACAUCAACGGCCUGCUGCCGGGAGAGGAGUCCAUGUCGGUGGCAGACCUGUUGGACCUGAGCACGGUGUCGGCGCCGUCCGCCGGCAGCUCCCCGCCUCCCGUCCCGGUCCACUGCAGUCUGACCAGUCCAGCGUCCGCCCCCGUCCUCAGCGGCGCCUUCCCGCCCCCCUCUGCCGCCUGCCAGCCCAUCGAGGUGCCAUCCUCUUCAGGAAGUAGACCCGGCCCAGAACCCAUGGAGCCCAGCCCGCCCAGCUGCCACGGCUCGCUGCUGGCCCUCACUGCCUCAGUCUCUGCAGCCGCAUCGUUCACCCUGGAGGAAGGAGGAGACAGUCAACCCGAGUCGACCAAUCACAUGCCGCCCCCACCGGCCGCCAGCCUGGGAAACCUCUCCUCAUUGGACAUCACCAACGACGAAGAGCUGCCCACCGACCCCAGCAACUCGUCCGACACGCAGGAGGAGACGUCGGGCGAGGUGGAGGCGUUCUGUUCGAACCUCAGCGGCCGCCUCAACAUCAACACGGCGGUCCGGAUGAGCGUGGACAAGCUGCACGACCUGCUGUUCUCCGCAGACACGCACUUCCUCCAGCACCUGUUCUCCCAGAGGCACUUCACCGACCUGUCGGUGGGCGAGUGGCAGCAGGACGGCGCCAGCGGUACCAGCAGCCGGGUUCUGAGCUACACCAUCGCCCUCAACAACCCGCUGGGCCCCAAAACCGCCCCGGUGGUCGAGACGCAGACGCUGCAUAAGAGCUGCUCCAGAGGCGAGUGCUACGUGGUGGACUCAGAGGUCAUCACCUCUGGGAUCCCCUACCAGGACUACUUCUACACCGUCCACAGAUACUGCCUGACCUCCAUCAGCAAACACAAGAGCCGCCUCAGAGUUUCCUCAGACAUCUGCUACAGGAAGCAGCCGUGGAGUCUAGUCAAAGCACUGAUAGAGAAGAACACCUGGAGCGGCAUUGAGGAUUACUACAGGAACAUGGAGAGCGAAGUGUGCAAGCUGGAGACGCUGCUGCAGACCGAGGUUUCCGUGGUAACCACAGGCGACGCCGCGGGCGCCGAUGCCAAGACGCCGCCGUCCCUGCGACGGCGAAAGCGCGCCUGCUCUCGACGGCAGAGCGAGAGGGAGGGAGGCGGUGUGGAGGCGGGCGAUCGAGGGGAGCGAGGCGUCGGGGAGGAGCGGAACCGCAGGGAGGCCAGCUCUCCGUUCCUCAAGCUGGGCGAACGCGGGCGCGCCGGCGGGCACGGCGGCAUCUCCACCGUCCUCCUCAUCGUCAGCUUCAUGAUCUGUAUCAGCCUGGUGGUGCUGGUGGCUCUCAACAUGCUGCUGUUCUACAAGCUGUACGCUCUGGAAAGAGCAGCUCACACACUGGAGCGGUGGCACUCCUACUCUGUGGCCGACAGUCCUCUGCCCCAGACGGCGGGCGAGUGGGCCCAGGUUCUGCACCUCCAGCGGCAGUUCCACCAGGCGCAGCUCAGUAAGUGGCAGCAGAUCCUGCAGUCCUCCGUCUCCCUGCUGGACCAGAUGAAGCAUUCCCUGGAGAAACUCCACAGGAACAUCGUGGUUCCGGACGGGGAGCCGGAUCCGCCCGCUGACACAGAGACCCUGUCUGAGACCUGACCUCUGACCUCCAACCCGCAUUCCCCACCCCUUCCGCUCCGGUCCAGGACUCCAACACUUCCUAUCAGAACCCGGUCCUGGGUGGGACAGACAGAUGAACUACACUACCCACAAUCCCCUCUCCUGCCUGACUUGAAGUCGCAUCAGACGCCUUUAGCUUCGACCAAUGAGAAGCUUCCAGAACCACAGCAAUAAGCCCCUCCCCCCACCGCUCCAUGUACAUGAGCAGAACCGGGCCACAGGCGGGCCCCCGGGUUCCAGACUGGUUCCUGACCUGCUGCGUGGCACCGGGACCGGUUCUGGACCGGUUCCGGCCGCAGACGGACCUCCUCAGUAUUUAUUAUUACCUCCCAAGUCUCGUCCUGCUUGAACAAGUCAUGUGAUGGCUGUUCUGCGCUCUGAUUUGCUGAUGUUUGGACCAAUAGGAGAACGAGGUUCAGCAAUAAUGAAAACCUUUUGCUCUUUACGAAUGUUUCUCUGAAAACUAGUUUAUUAUAAUAAUUAUAAUGAUAAUAAUAGUGAUGAUGAGGAGGAGUGCGGGAAGAACGAUGGAGGACAGACAGGAAAACGAUCGCAAGAUGGAGAUGAGGGGAGAGAACAAGAAGAGGUCAAAGGUUAGCUGCAGAGGAAAAGGAGGAAAAGAGAAUAUUAGGAGCAAAAUUAUAUAGAAAACUGUUUAUUCAUCAUCGUUUCAUAUCGACCAACUGACCGUUUCACUUAUUGACAGUUUUUAUUCAUCAGUUGUUCAUUUGACCAGCAGCAUCACGAAUGUUUCUAAACCUGUUCCUGCCUGUGAGGUGAGGAAGCAUCGAUCGCUGCAGCUGAGUUCUGCUGCGCUGCAGAAACACCGAAGGAAACGCAACAGAUUUCAGCCAAAUCAUUUCCUCCAUCAGAGAAGGUUCUGACCCACAAACUGUGAAGCUUUAAGAUCCGAGACCCGAGUAAGACUUUAGUCGGACCAUCUGAGACCCGAUAAAGACCAAACAGGAUCGCAAUAAAACUUGGCGUUGACCGUCCAACUGAUCAUCCAAGUCCUUCCUAAAACAGAACCAAGACUUAAUGAAGAACGUUCAAUAUCGCAGCAAGACUUUGGAUAGGCCGUCUGAGACGUCUGUGACCUUAAAGACGACCCAAGCAGAACGAAGACUGUAUGAUGGAUCCACAUUCUGGCUGAUUUUUGUAGAAAUCGGGUUUCUGAGACGAAUCAACUUCUGAUCAUCAGCUGAUCAACGGCAAACAACUUUAUCCCACAUAAACAUAGAAAUGCAACAAUUUAACUAAUAAAACAAAGCAAAAAAUCUCUGCAAAAUGAUUUAACAUGAUAUUCUGCUGGUAUCUGUUAGCUUUCCUCCUCCAUCAGAUUCUUGACCUUUAACCCUGAUUCCAACUCAAACCAAAGCAGCUUCCUGCUGCUCCGGUUUGAGUCCAGCGCAGUUCGGCUGCGGCUCACAGGUUCACGUUUCAACCCGGAGCGACGGCUGAUCUGAGGCCAGAUUCUCCGGUUUUCAGGUUAUCUGCCUGUCAGAUCCGCAGCCGAACAGACCGGAGGCAAAAGGUGCAUCUAUAAAUACUUCCUGCUUCCACAGGAAGCAGCUACUGCUGGUGCUUCAGCUUCAUCUCUGCUGCAAUCAUCUCCUUCGCCUGUCAGGAUUGUUGGUGUUAAUUACAGGCUGCAGCUCCAGCUGCCGGAGGUCGACCAAAGACAUUCAUCACUUCACGGCAGAGACACAGACAGCAGCUGGCCACCGGUACCAAAACGCAGAUUAUUCACGACGCUCUGCGGCAAACACGGGAAAAAACUGGAGUUUGGCUGCAGGAUUCAUCAGGCUCAACAGGAAGCUGUCACAAAGCGAGAGCAGCAAAAAGCUUCAAAUCUGGAGGUCAGAGAGGUCACAGGUGUAAAAUCUCACGACUCCCCAUCCCCGAGAAAUAAAAGCAGCAGAGGAAAUAAAUCAUUUAAGUGACUCAUUUAGGAAGUAAAAAGAACAUCAGAGCAGAAACUGAAGGUCAGCAUCGUCUGCUGGAGUUUAUCAGGGGUCUGCUGGUGUGUGUGUGUGUGUGUGUGUGUGUGUGCGCCUGAGGCGGAGCCGCUGCUUUGCAUGAAUCUCCUCUGCUGCUGUUUGUCCUCAACAUGAAAUUCUUAAAGACAAUUUUCCUUUCAGAAACAGCAGAAAUCAGGAAGAGAAUCAGGAGCUGCGUGAUUCUGGUUCAUCCUGCGAUGAUCCGCUGACGCCGGGAGGCGCCGCCGUCAUCUGUUCAAACAAUUUCAUGACAUUAAAGAGAGGAUGGGAAACCGUCACACUCAGGAAGGAGACGAGCUCCAGAUCCAGAUCCAGAUCCAGGAAGUUAAAGCUGCAGAUGGACGAUGUCCGCCACAAAGUUUUAAAGACGGCUGUCCUGAUCCUGAGGAAAUGUAUGAAAACUUUUGACCUUAAAGAUUUUAAACAAUCAAUAACAGAUCAUUUCUGUCUUUUGGCACAUAGAAAUAACCCUGGUGAUUCUUGCUGACCUGGAACAAGAGACGUUUGCUCUGAGUUAACUUCAGACAGCCACAUUAAAAAGCUGCAUGAUUCUUUUCCCUGGUGUAUGUAAACUUUUGGUCUCCACUGCAGUAAAAUGAGGCUGGAUAAUAAAAGUUCAAACACGUUUUUUAAACGGGAGUUCAGAGUUCGGUUCAGAUUCUCCGACUCAAUCCAAGAUGGCCGCCGCUGUGGACGGAGAAUUUUGACUGUUUCUGGUAUUUUCUUGUUCCAGUGAUUUGUUGGGUUGGUUCCGUUGGGUUGGUUCUGUCGGGUUGGUUCCGUUGGGCUGGUUCCGUUGGGUUGGUUCCGUUGGGUUGGUUCCGUAACGCUGAGCGAUUCGGACCCACCAGAGCAGCAGGAGGCAGAGAAAAGACGGAGCGGAGAGAAACGAAGAUGCAGAGCGACAGGAAGGAGAGCAGAGUCAUCACAUCAGGAAGGACGCUGACCCAGUCCAGCAGCAGGAAUCCGGCCUGCAAGCUGGACUCUGACGUCUGGGAUUAUGCAGAAGCAGCAGAUUAGGAUUUUGUUGCUGCUGGUUUUAAUCCGUCACAUCAGCAGCUGUUUGUCUCUGAGGACUGAAACGUCCUCCAGCUGCAGAAAAGGACAAACUCUGCAGCUGCUGGCGACACAAAAGGCCCGGUUCUGGUUCUGGUUCAGUGUGUGUGUCCACACUGGAUCCUUUGAAUCCAAAAGAGCGAAAAUACUUUUCAGUAGAAGAUGAACAAUGGGGUCCUCUGUCCCCCCAAAUCCCGUUCCUCAGAUUGGGACAGUCUGUCCGUCCUGACGUUUCUCACGAAUGAGAAACACACACACACACACACACACACACUGUGCAGCCAUGCAUCACCAACACUGACGAAGCUGCAGCACUUCCUGUCCUUCUCGGUCCAUCUGUCAUCUUCCUCUGCUGCUUCGUCUUCGUUUGUUAUUUUUAACUGAAAAGUUUCACUUUUUGAAAUAAUGAUUUUUAUUAAAAUCUUUACUUUGUUUUUGUUCCAACAAUCAUUUUUGUUUUGGUGAGAAAAAUAACUUUUAGUGAGAAACGGAGAAAAAACGUAGAUUUUAUGGUAAUUCUUUGUUUUAACUGCAAAAUGAAGGAGAAA